GGAAAAGUAAGGAAAGGAGAGUCCUUGUCUGAGGAGUGUCCUACCCCAAACUGAUUUCUCUGUUUAUCGAGUAAACAGAAGUCUGUGGGUGUAGGUGUUUGAGGCGGAGGUAUCCCUUUAAAAUUGUUAAGGAGCAAAUGCCCUAAGGUUAGGAGUGGUCACCUUCCCUUGGAAGAGGAAGGAAAGAUUUCCUACCCUCCUGUCCAGUCCUCCCAAGCACCAUCAAGAAUGUAACAAGAAAUUCUACUCCUACACAGAGUAAGAAUGAAGAAUGUAGG
rnacentral:lncRNA from 1 species